CAACCCGCACCAUCGUCCCCGCCGUCUUCAUCCUCCUUCGAUCUCCAUCCUCCUUCACCGUCGACUUCGAUCUCCAUCCUCCUUCAUCUUCGACGCCGAUGCCCCCUCUGCCACCGCUCUCCAUCUUCCCGUCGACGCCCCCGCUGCCGUCGUCGAUCGCUGUCGCAAAGUCACUGCUUCACUUCGACCGUUGCUUCACGCCGACGUCUCCGCCGCUCCGGACCCAGCCGCCGUCCCCGCCGCUCCUCGCACUGCAGUUGGUCUAUGAGAGUGUAAAGACAAAACAGUCUCGGAGCUUAUUACUCUCUAAAAGACAUGCAUUAGAGAAACAACUUCAACAGUCUAAAACGUCAGCAACCAUAUGAUCUGUUUCUGUUAUAUUAAACAUUUCCUUUCUUAAAGGUUAUGUUUUCUUUGAAUUCUUUCUAUGAUUGAUCUUCUGGUGACUUGAGACCAGACAAUCCACAAAGCUAAUGUAUAAUGCACUUGAUUAGUCAAUGAUUAUCAUCGUUCUUUUUUCAAAGGUACAAAGCUGCCAUCAAAGCUGAUCCUUUGUGUUACGAGGCCUUGGUGCUGAAGAUGGUUGGCUCUCUUCAUUCUAUUCUUGCUUGGUAAAGAAGGCUUCAGACAAAUCGGUUAUAAUCAGUGAAAUUCUGGACUCGAGGACUAAAAAUCUGUUGACCAUGUCGAAAAUAAGUGAUUAUGUUUUGUCAAAUGAGCUUGUGAGCAUUGCAUUGGCUAUGGUUGCAGAGGAUCGUCAAAUAAAUGAGGUACUGGAAGAGCUUUUUGCUGAAGAGGUAUGUUGCUGUGGAGCACAGAGAAGUUACACACUUUCUAUUGUACAUUUAUGGUGUCAUGAAGAUCAAGUUACUUUCUUUAUAUGUCAACACUGAAACAAGCAGUUCUCCUUUGGCAGAGGUAUACAAACUUAGCUAUGAUAUAUGCAUGCAGCUGUAUACAAACAAUUGUUUGUGCAAAGAUAUGUGCCUUUUUCUCAUGCAAUCAUUAUGAGCUUUAAUAAUUCAUUUCUGGGGCAAACAUGAGAGUUUCAUCUGGAUAUAUACUUCAAUAUAAGAAACCCUUAAACGGCAGUCCUAUUAUUUGUGUUAUUUUAGUUGAAGUGUAUGCCUUGUAGCUUGAUUGGACUUAAGACUACUUCUGUUUAUCGAUAAAGUAGUCUUAAGUCCAAUUUAGCUACAGAUUUGACACAUACUUGAAUUUGCCAUUUUAUGCAAGCAGACACUGGUAUUAUCCUAUGUAUAGAGAAGGCCUUAGCUCAGUCCGGGGUAUCUAGGGAAGAUGUGAACUAUAUAAAUGCACAGGCAACAUCGACACCAGCUGGGGAUCUCAAGGAGUACCAAGCACUUGUAGUUACGAGUGAACUCAACAAAAUCUAUGAUUGGUCACCUUCUAGGAGCAGCUGGUGGUGUGGAGGCUGUAGCAACUGUUCAGGUUGAGGGUGAGAUGGAUAAGCUUGCAAUGGAAGAAGCUAGUUUUCGUAAUUGGGUAUAUGGGUUCUCAAUAUUUAGUGUUUACAAUCUACUACUUGCACAGAUACUAUGAGGACCAAUUGACUCAGAUCGAUUUCGCAGAGAUUAAGAUGGAGCCUCUUGCUAUAUCAUUGGACGAUGAUCUUAACAAUGCGGCAAAACAAGUCCAGGCAUCUCGUAUAAUACUUGCAACUGAUGGGGAUCCACCUGGCCAGGCUCUAGCUGACGAACUUGCCCGCCGUUUAGGGAGAGAAAGAUUGGAGUAUGAGCAGAAGCGGGACAUGGAUUCAAGGAUUACCAAAUUGGGGGCAACACUUGAAGAUAUAUAAUGUACACAAAUGCAAGCAGGUGUGCUUUAGUAUGAAUAAAAAUUGGAGAUUGAUUACAUCUUAAGUAGUUUAUUUUAAUUGUUAACAUUUAGAAUUUGUAGUAAAAUGUUAUUAGAAUUGAAAUUUUAGAUUGGUGUGUAGUAUACAUCUUAAAUUGAUUAAUGUUGAAAUAUAUUAUUUGGUAGUUAUGCUGGGAUGUACAGGAAAAUAUUGGUAGUUUUAUAAAAAAAAA